AGCUCAUAGGCGCGGUAAUAGUAAACUGCCUCCUCCUUGGGCAAUCGUGGCCAUUGCUAUUCUUGGUUUCAAUGAGAUCAUGGUGCUUAUUAGGAAUCCCAUUUAUCUGUUCUUGCUAUUUGUGGGCUACUUGAUGGUCAAAGCUUUGGCGAUGCAGCUAGAUGUCAGCAGAGAAUUCCAGAAUGGAGUGGUUCCUGGGAUAAUCUCUGUGUCGGUGAAGCUCCUACCAACGAUACAGAACCUACUUUCUAAGUUAAGUUAUUUUGUUUAAACCUCACGAGACAUUUAACCAUUUGCAUAAUUAAACCUCACAAAUGCAUUGUUUAUUGAAAAAUGCAUGUUACCAUUUGAAUGCACUAGAUGCUAGUUGGGUGCAUGAUAGAUUCAUUGGUUCUGCCCUCUCUUUAGAAAGCCAUUUGAUAUUAUGUUAGUUUUUUCCCUCCUGUUGGGAACUGCAUGUUG